rnacentral:rRNA from 1 species
AUUGAACGCUGGCGGCAGGCUUAACACAUGCAAGUCGAGCGGGGGAAGGUAGCUUGCUACCGGACCUAGCGGCGGACGGGUGAGUAAUGCUUAGAAAUCUGCCUAUUAGUGGGGGACAACAUCUCGAAAGGGAUGCUAAUACCGCAUACGUCCUACGGGAGAAAGCAGGGGAUCUUCGGACCUUGCGCUAAUAGAUGAGCCUAGGUCGGAUUAGCUAGUUGGUGGGGUAAAGGCCUACCAAGGCGACGAUCUGUAGCGGGUCUGAGAGGAUGAUCCGCCACACGGGGACUGAAACACGGCCCAGACUCCUACGGGAGGCAGCAGUGGGGAAUAUUGGACAAUGGGGGGAACCCUGAUCCGGCCAUGCCGCGUGUGUGAAGAAGGCCUUAUGGUUGUAAAGCACUUUAAGCGAGGAGGAGGCUACUUUAGUUAAUACCUAGAGAUAGUGGACGUUACUCGCAGAAUAAGCACCGGCUAACUCUGUGCCAGCCGCCGCGGUAA